CUCGCAAAUAUAAGUGAAUGACGCGGUUCAUGGAAAAGCUUCGUCCGUUCCCAGACCUAACUAGAAAGGAUGAGAUAAGUAUAACAUCGACUACAUACUAGAAGCAUCUACAAUCCAAGUAACACAAGGUUUAUUAUAAUGACAGUUGCUUCUUCAGAAGCUAACAAACCGUAAUAGUCAGUUUCGAAGUGCACUAUAAUGUUCAAUGGUAGAAGCUCAAGAUUUAGUUUUUCAACCUUUAUCACACCACCAACUUAUGCAAGAGGACUUUGGGUUGUUCCUUUUGAAGCAUGAUGACGGAUCUAUAUAUCUGCAAGUCCACCAAUCACAUCAUAAUUUUGUAACAGCGACUAAAUCGUAUUGGCAUGUUCUGGUACAGUUUUCAGCAAUUAAUAUUUACUCUACUAAUUUCUAAUAGCCGCAAGAAAAUGUACAGUUCUCUAUUCUAGUUCAGAAGUGUUAAUAUUCCUCACUAGUGCUUCUUCACAAUCAACAUUUAGGCAGGGAUGAUUGCAUACAUCAAAUUAUAAAUGUCAAAAAUGCACCCCACUAAUAACUUUUUUACGUUUUAUUUUGAGUAUUCAGGUAAAUAUUUCAUGUUUAUCAUGUACAAGUUCAUUAUAUAAGUAUUCAGGUAGCACCAUAGCAGGAGAGUCAUAUAUGUGCUAUGUUCUUUUAGAUAAAUUACCAGACGUCAAUGAUUCCAAAUCCCUAUUUUACGACAUUUUUUUGCAUAUCAUCCUUUACUAGCUUCUGCAUCGCACAAGGCUACAAACAGUAUUCAAUAAAGAGAAAAAUAGGUCAUAAUAGUAUAGCAGAUGCGCAUAAUGGAAUUAUUUCUGUAGAAUAAGACGAAACAGUGCUAGCUGCACAAGUAUAAUAGCAUGAAAAAUAAUUAACAUCUUAUCAGCUUUUGACUCCAACAUCAAGAAAUUUCACUUACAGCAAAAGCUGCACUUAGAAAUCAAAAUCUUUGCAGGGUAAGCCGUGCUCUAGAUGUGAUGAAAAGUGUGUAAGUACAAAUAAGCAUAUCCAUCAACCAUAGUUCAAAUAUUAAAUAUAAGUUUCAACAAGCAAAUUAAGGUCAGAUAUAUACUCAAAAUUAGGAGAAUUUCCAUUGCCAUCUGAAGGUGCCUGAAAGGAUAUUCAAGCAUGAAAAUAGAUGCUAGCCUCUAUAGAGUAUAUUUUCUUUACUGCACAGGUUUGUUGCUCAUUAACAAUUACAGUUUACAGUGAGAAGUCCCCUCUAUUUCUCAUCAUUCGACUGCUUAUUCGGCCACCUGCCACGCUGUAACUGUUGCCUCAGGUGUUCUUUCACUACUUAAAUAAUUAUAGUCUAAAUGAUAUCAUUUUCUUCCCCAUAAGUAGUCAAGAAGCUGAAAGGAGGAGACAGCAGCCUCUUUCCAUUCCUAAAAUCAAGAAAUUACAAACCAAAGGAAAGACAUUCUUCUCAAUUAGCGAAAAGGGAUCUCCGUCACGGACAACACAAGUCUUGGCUCAUAAUAAACUGUCAAUACUACCUAUACGGGAAGCUAAAUCUUCUUCUCCAGAUUUCUCAAGGUAUUCGACUAUAUUUUGAAAAUAAGGAGGCUUAAGCUGAAUUCUUCUCUCAACCAUCAGAUUAGCAAGCUUUGCAGCUUCCACCAAAUGGCUUUUUUCACAAAGUCCAGCCAAUAUGAUCGAGUAAAUUUCAGAAUCAACAGCAGGAAAAUGUCCAGACUUUUCAAGUGAAUCAAACAAACCAAAUCCAUCUAGCACCCUUCCCUCCAAGACUAUAGCUUUUAUGAUGGUACUCAAAACCAAACCAUUAGGCUUCAUCCUACUAGCUAUCAUCAUCCUAAAAAUGUUUUCUGCCUCUUUAGUUUUGCCAAUUCGGUAUAGUGACACAACAAGCAAACCAUAGAACUUACCAUGCUGUUCACUACCUCUACUAACUCUAUCGAUAAUCUUACAAGCCUCCUCCAAACGCCCCUCUUUGCAUAGCCCAUCAAACAAAGCCGUAAUUGUCACCCUAUUAGGUUGAAGACCUGAAUCCUCCAUUCGGUCCAAGACCCCUAACGCUUCCAUCACUUUCCCUUUCUCAAGAAAACCCUUUAUCACUGCCGAAUAAGUUACAACAUUUGGCCUACAUUCCUCUUCUUCUUUUUCCAUCUUCCCUAGAAACUCCAAUGCCUUCUCCAAACUCUCAUGCUUACAAAUCCCAUCAAGAAGUGUCGAAUAAACAACUGUAUUCGGCACACACCCAUGCCCCUUCAUAGACUUAAUCAAUUGGCAUGCAUCUUCCAACCUCCCUACAUCACAAAACCCCUUAAUCAUCGAAACAUAAGUGAUCAUAUCAGGAUAAAGAUCAAUCAGACCCAUCUCUUUCAUCAACCCCAGUGCUUCAUCUAAUCUACCCUUUUCCACUACCAACCUAAUUACCACAUUGUAAGCCACAGUGUCAGGCCUACAAUUAAAUUCCUUCAUUUUCCUCAACACCCACAAGCCCAACUUAUCAUCUUUAGCUUCCCUACACAAAUUCAGAACAACCUUUAACAUCUUGACACUAACAACACUAUUUUCUGCCCGAUAGGCCGAUAUAGCAUCAACAACAAUGCUCGGAUUAUUCUUAAGUCUGAGCAAUUUAUAGGCUUUGCUAUACACGUAUGAGCUAUGCCUAUAGGUAGGAUGAAGUCCAGACCAAAUAAAAAAUCUGAGACCCAAUUGGGGUUCAUUAACAGCGCACCUUCUUAACACUUCAAUUAUGCAUGGAGCAUCCAGCUUUGCUUUCACAGAUUCAAGAACCUUUUCUGUGUUGGACCUAUUUUCCAGCAAAUUGGUCAAGAACUUUUCGGCUGACGGUGAAGAUGUGGUGAAAAGACAGAGUUUUGCGAACGAAAAAUCAAGGGGUUUGUGUGGGAUUGGUGAGAAAAGGUAACGAGACACGGAGGAGAGGAAUGACAUUGAUUUUUAUUACUUACUAGCAGCCAAAAAAGAUUAAAGCUUUAUGGGUGGAGUCGUGCUCUGCGAGGGAAUCGAUUGCGGCGUCGUCAAGGAAUUGGAGAAAGGGUGGAGUAGGAGCGGGGAACUGAGGGAAGUGGUGGUGAUGGUGGAUUUGAGGAUUCAGCGGCGCAUGGCGGUGGCCAGGAUCUUCGGGGGUGGAGGGGAUUUCUACGAUAAUUCUCCUUUGAAAUAAUUAUACCUUCGGUCUCCUAUCUAUUAAUUUAGUAACAAAUUGAUCCAAACUUUUUUAUUUAUGGUAGUAUUGCGCUUUGAUCCCCCAUUUAUUCAUUUAGUAGCAAACUGAUCUCAACUUUUUUAUUGAAUAAAGAAGCAUUGAAUGGGAG
rnacentral:lncRNA from 1 species